GGAAUGCAGAACUUCAAGACUCUGAGAGAAUCCCUACGCAGAUCCCUAGUUCUUUGCCAGGCUAGAGCAAGGAAGCUCCUCAGACUGGAGUCCUCUGAAUUACCCAGUUCUUCAGGAUUCACUCCGAAUUCUCCAAACCUUCUUAAGAGCCAAGAAGGGCAGAAAAUUAUGACAAACUAAUUAUUAUGAUGGAUGGGGAGCCAGUCCCUUCUGCUCACUACACUGCUGGAGCAAGGAGCAGCCCUGCAUUCUGCAUCUUUCAACAUACAUUUCCCAGGAAUCUCAAACAAGAUGGUUAAGUAUGUUUACAAUGGAAACCUCCAACCAACCCACAUCUCUAUGAUCCAGAGUUUUACCUUACAUCUGCAAUCUUCUCAGGGGCCACAGAGAAUCUACUCCGUAGUAUCUUUUAUGUUUCUUAUCCACCUUGUGAAGACAGUAUCUUCAAAUCUUGCCCAAAUCAAUUACUAUUAUCAUCACUGAUAAGAACAAGACGUAGCCAUAAGAGAAUAAUUCGUCCCCAUCUGAAA